CUUCUCUUCCGUUUUCACCGACAGCCAAGCCGGGUAUUCGGCAAUACCGGUCGGUGAAACAGGGACAGUGGACGCCCACCUUUAGGAAUAUAAACUUAGCGUGUAUGUGGACAGUAAAUUAUAUAUAUCAUAAUUUAAUGAGUAGGCCUAAAAGUUUUUUAUUUCUUUAUGAAUUAUUAAAAUUUUUAGGAUUUUUGAGUAAUACUAUAGACCUAUUUACUAGUCUAGUAUUGUUUUCUUACAGAAUUAAAAAUUGCCAAGUAACUAUAUAAGGAAGAAGCCACAAUCAUACUCUGAAGCAAGUAUGAAGUUAGCACUGUUGGAAAUUGAAAAAGACAAAUCAAUUUAUGCUGCAGCUAAAGAAUUUAGUAUUCCAUAUGAAACCUUAAGAAGAUGGGUUGUUAAGAAGCCUACACAUAGAGGUUCUGGGCAAAAAUCGUGGCUGACAAUUGAUGAAGAAACUUGCAUUGUUGAAGCUUUGAAAUUUCUAUCCCAGUCAGAUUCCCAUUUGAUUGUCAGGACUUAUCAAAUCUUAUU
rnacentral:lncRNA from 1 species